AUGAUAAAUAGACCAUAUAAUAAGUAGGGGCUAACCCGUCCCUAGUAGCGAUCGACAAAGAGGAAAAAGGGUUAGCCCUUUGUCGUUGGUUAUCGUCGUACAGGAGAGGAGUCUCCUGGGCCGAUCGAGCCACUAUUCCAUAGGGCUCGAUGAAAAUCAUCGGGGAAACGGUGACGCGUGUCGGCAUGCGAAAUGAUUUCGGUGUUGACGAAAACGUCUCUACGCACGUACGCCCUAUACGUACGUAUACGUACGUAUUCGUGCGCCUACGUGGGUUCAACGUCGCACUCGGUCGCCGAAGAGCGUGAGUGUACCGAGAUCGGCCGCUAUAUUUACCUUAGGAAAAGUCGCCUUGCCAAGUCGAGUAAGGUGUCGCGAGUGUAUAGUGAUAGCUGCUGCACCGGCUGCCGGAUAAAUCCAGUUCGACGCUAGAACGAAGACGAAACGACGUAAACAUAGUCGGGACAAGUACCGAAAAGCUAUCCUCACAUCCGUCCGAUGACCGACAUAACACGAUAUAAGGUAUCCAUCGAUGGCCGAUCCGUUGGUAUAAAUUUUCGCUUAAGCGGACGGACGCACACGUUCCUUGAAGAGUUAGGCGGCCUCGGAGUAACGCAACUCUUCUCUUUGAAGUUACUUACUUCCCGACGGCAUAUCCCACGGGGCGCAUCACGGGUUUCUCUUCGUGUGAACGAGCCUUAACGUAUUCGUUGGUCCGUCACAAGCAGUGGAGGGGAAAAAGAGUAAAGAUAGCAUCGCGGGUAUAUCUCUCGAGCUAGUCUCGCGGUGCUAAGAGAGUUAGGUCGGUUAUUUCCGUCAUCUCUUGAGGGGUUCACGACCUGGAGGCCGAAGGCUCCUGCAUGACGUAACUCGUCGCGUCGCGUCGGCACGCACUGACCGACGCAAAACGCGCACAGAAAAAAUUCGAGACCGAGUUUGACAUCGGAGUCUUCGCUGUCUACAGAGAGAGAGAGAGAGAGAGAGACUACAUUUUCGACGAGAGGACGAAACUCGUCGGAAUAAUGGACCGAGAGGUCGUUAGAAAAAUGGAGUAACCCUGACGCCUACCAGGAAAAGGAGAAAAGAAAAAGUGUUUGGAUUUAAUAGAACGUUUUAUCUUUGCCACCCUAUCUAUGUUCGCUUUGCCAAUCGGAUCGGAUGAGAUAUUCAGCACCACCGAUGCCAAAGCUUUUUUAUUUCAUACACGUUAUUGUAACCGACAAGGAAAUCUACGAUCUAAGAGCGAGAGCGGAAGAGAGGAAGUGAGAGAGAAAGUUUCCUUCGAGAAGCGCGGGAACGCACGGACGAGUCAGACGAGUUUUGACAUCCCUUUUAUGGCGAUCGGAGUGGCAUCGUACGAAUUCUCCCUCGAACUCGUCGUCGUCGUCGUCGUCGUCGUCGUCGUCGCCGACGUCGACCUAAACUUUAUUAGGCAGUAGGUAAAGCCCUCUUGAUCGUUCUGAGUC